rnacentral:lncRNA from 1 species
AUCAACUUGUAUAUGGAAAAACGUGUCACUUGCCUGUGGAAGUAGAGUUUAAGGCUCAUUGGGCACUCAAGAAAUGGAACAUGGAUCACCACCUCGCUAGCAAGAAUCGUCUGAUGCAACUAUCUGAGCUAGAAGAAUGGAGAGAGAAAGCCUACCACAAUUCAAGGAUCUAUAAAGAGAGAACAAAACGAUGGCAUGAUAAGAGAAUCAAGCACAAGGAGUUUAAGCCUAGAGAUAAGGUUCUACUAUUCAAUUCAAGAGUUAAGCUCUUUGGGCAUGGUAAGCUACGAAGUAAGUGGGAUGGACCAUACAAGGUUAUUGACACUUCAACUCAUGGAGCCAUUACCAUCCAAGACGACAUAGGUAACACUUUUAAGGUGAAUGGUCAACGCUUGAAAAUCUAUCUCGAGCCACAAAACAACCUGGUAGAGGAACUUGAUGUGAUUGAGUUCAUAGAAUUCUCAUAUUAAGCUCUCAUAAGCUCUAGACAAUUACCUAACCCUUAACAUGCUCCACAAGUUUUGUUGUCUAUUUGGGUUGUGCAGGAUUUUGAGGCUUAAGAAGAGUGAGACCGAACAUGCAGGCCACAAGAGUGAAUGACUAUGUCAACAUCCAGCUUGGGGGAGGCACCCCCACGUGUAUCUAGAUAAGUAUUACUUUUCUUUCUUGAUUCUAUUUACUAGUAUUCAGAAAUAAAAAAUGCAUAACCAUGAAACCAAACAAAGUUUUUCUUUUGAGUAAUAUACAAUAGUUUUGUGUAAUCCUAAGUUUUGAAUAAAAUAAAAAGAAAGUUUGAUUCAAGUCUAGGUAAUUGACAAACAUGAUAUGAGAAGGUCUGAGCUACUAUUUAACUUGUUCCAAGUUUUGCUAGAGUUCUGGAGAUUUUAUCUUUUGAAAAUCUAAAAAUUCAUAAAAAAAAUAUAUGAGAUCAUAAUACCUAGAGUCUUAUAAGAUAUAAAUAUUAAAACUGUGGGCACUUGCUUUGUUCAAGCCAUUCUUAAUUCUUGUAGUUUUGGUUGAGAGAAUUAUCAUGCUCUAAAGAUCAAGAUCUUUUUGUUUUAAAAAUAUAAAAGAUUCACUCUUCCGAAGUAUUAUUGCGUUAGAGGCAUGGGACUAUGCAAAAAUUUGAUUUAAAAGAAAGAGUGAGACGAGAGGUAAAAAUGGACAUGUGUCCGAAGUAGAAUUAGGGGUACAAAGAUACACACUUGAGUGAAAAAAAUGGACAUGUGUCCGACAGUAGAAUUAGGGGUACUUGGUGCCCACUUGAAAAAAAAGAGAGAUACUCAAAAAAAAUGAUAGCCCAUGGUCCCUCUAAUAAGCAAUAUGCCAGUAAGAGAUGACAAACUUUUCAAAAAGGUCAAAGGUCUUGAUCUAGGAGUAUGACAUUCCUCUCCCUUGCUCCGAGCAUUGACAUAGCAAAAUGCAAAGUAAGUAUGCUAAAAUUUUUUAAAGCUCUACUUAUAUAUCUUUCGAGAAGAAGGCAAAUGCCUCAGUUUUAUUUUGGAAACUUACAAACAACUCCAGAACAAAGGUAAGACAGAAGAACUUAAGACAUAGUGCUUGACUUGAUCGUUCUGUUUUUCAAUCACUUAAGACCUUAGUAAUAACUUAAAAACCCUGUAGUAAGAGGCAUAAAAGUAACCCCUGAUUUCUUGCUGAUUUUAGCUUUGCUCAGGGACGAGCAAAGGUUAAGCUUGGGGGAGCUUGUUGAUGGUCCUUAAUGUUCACAUUUAACCAUCAACUAAUCAUGGAAAAGGAUCCAAAUGCAACCAACACCUAGACUUAGGGUUUUAUCUGACAGAAUUCCACGAGUUUUGGUGUUUGUCUAUUUCUGCAGGGGGUUAUCAGGAAAUAUGGAAAAGAGGCCCACAUGUCGGGUUAAUGACGGGAUAUUAACUUGACACACAAUUAUCUGCCAUCUAGAAGAGUCCAGAAGCCACGGGAGCGAACGGGAGACGUGACGGAGCCGGGCACUGGGCGCCCGCCCUCCCUUACUGGGCGCCCGCCCUCCCCCCUGGACCAAUCAGGGCGAAGCUCGGGGAUCAUGCUCCACCGACCUAAUACUUCAAGGAAAACCACACGAUCAAUGUCGGUUUGAUCCGACGGCCCAGACUCAUCUGAAAAGACUAUAUAAGCAAGGCCCCCUGGCCCCUGGAGAUCAUACCUCUUCUACAGAAUCAAAGCUAGGGUUUCAAUUCUUCAUCCAAGUAGAGAGGAUCCCUCUAGUUCUUCUAGUUCUACCUCUAGUUCAUCUAGAUCUAGUUCUAGUUCAUCUAGUUCUAGUUCUAGUUCCUCUAGUUCUAGUUCUAGUUAGUUCUAGUUGUAAUCUAGAAAAUAGGGAGAGAGAAGAGAAGAGCGGAAGAGGAGGAGCUGGAUCUGUCGGAUCUUCCUCAACAUUGUACUUUUGCAGCAACUGGUUCGUUCUUCAUUGUUCUCCAGGUUCUUCAAUUCAUAAUCCUGAGUUCUUUAAUUACUUUUAUUUACAUUCAAGUUAUUUAUUGGAUUCCCACUUGCAUCAAGUGCUCUAAUCUUUGCAACAUUAGAGUAGUAAUUAAUAAAUUAGACGUGGUGUUUAGUCUUGCAAUUACCUGGAAUUGCACCCAAUCCUGCGGAUUGUUGUGGUAGCCUUAGGGUAGUGACAGCCCUAACGGUCGACGUAUUCCACCUCGUUCGGAUCGGUGUUUGUAGGACCGUAGUCAGACCUUCCUAGCCCCCUUCUCAUCUCUUUCUGUGGUUAGUGCUCUGAUGUCCCGAUAUAAAUAAUCUUGAAGUAAUUCUUGAUUCUUAGAUGAACUAGAGAACUCUCAGGAAACUUCCUCUCUUCCCACCAAAAAUACUUAUAUAGUUAUCCUUGGGCGAUCUUGAUUCUUAAUUAGUACACUCACGUUCCCUGUGGAAAAUCGAUACUCUGGAAUACUCUCGGGUGAAGGCUACAUCGGUAUCUGUGCGCUUGCGGAUUUUUCUGUUUGAGUUUAAAAUACCCAACAAGCUUUCUGGCGCCGUUGCCGGGGAACGGUAGCUAUGCUAGUUUCGAACCAAGUCGUCCGUGUAUCCUUUUUCUUUUCCUUUUUUACCACACUCACCUUACCAUUUUCACCACACCACAUGGAUUUCAGUCCUAUCUAUAAAUUCUUUGCUCCAAAGGGCGAGUUAUUAGAGCCACCACCAUCAUCACAUCCAAUUCUUACAGAUGGCUACGACCUCGGCCCUGAUCUAAUAGCCAUCAUUCAGGAGCAACCCUUCUCUGGGCAAGUAGAUGAAGAUCCAUACACACACCUUAGAGAAUUCGAGCAGUUGUGCUCUUGUCGAUCUAUUUCUGGCAUGACAUAAGAAACCCUUAAAUGGAAAUUAUUUCCGUUCUCCCUUUUGGGAAGAGCAAAAAAGUGGUAUGCUCAUUCUGUAGGAGGCGUUAAUGGAAGUUGGGAUGAACUUCGGGACAACUUUUGUCUCGCUUUCUUCCCACUUUUUCGAAUUGCUGACCUUAGAAUUGAAAUUCUUACAUUCAAACAAAGAGAGAAGGAAACUUUAGGCGCAGCUUGGGCUAGGUUCACAAACCUUACCAAUUCUGGUCCAAACCUUUCCCUGCCUGACCAUGUACUGUACUACCACUUUUAUCGUGGUCUAAGCAAGGAGGCUGCUCUUCACCUCGACAUUGCUUCAGGAGGCUCAUUCACACACAAACUCACAGAUGAGGGGAGAGCUAUCCUAGAAAGAAUCCUUGAAAAUACCCCUUACACAGGCAUUUAUGAUGAGUUUCCUGAAGAAGAAAAAGAAGUCGAGCCUGAUCCUAAACCAAAAGAUGAGGAACUUGCAACCGAGUUAGAAAUUCCACUUGACCCAUCCAUUAAUUUGGUUCUAGAGAAACCUCCUGAUAAAGGAAUGCAAAACCAACUAAGGGAUGAUGAAGCACCACCUUUAGAGCAUCCCUUUGAAUUCGAGGAAGAUCUUUUUGAAGAUUAUGGAAACACCUCGAAUUUUCCUAUCCAAACACGACCUCUAGCAAGGACCUCUCAAUCCAUUCUAAGAGUAGAAUCUGUUGACAUAGAACACAUCAAAAGCCUUUCAGCUAUUCUGAGUUAUGAAUGGCUAACAGAAGCUGAGCUGUCUCCUAAGAUAGCUCGGAUCAUCACUCCUUCAACCAUUCUUCUAUGCCAAAUUAGAAGGUCCGCUAGGAAGGUCCACUACAAUCCAUAUGUUGGGAUAAAUGUUAUUUCCAAAGAGUUAGCUGACACUCUUUAUCCCAACGAGUCCAUAACCCCAUCUCAAAAACUUUUACAAAUUCCAUCUAGAUUAAUUCUAGAGAGCCAUGGGGUAUUAAGGGCAGUUCUAGUUAGAAUCAAGGACUCUGGAAUAUGUCUAGAUUUCCACAUUUUUGACAUACCAGAGAUUCCUCUCUUUAUUGGCAGACCAAUCAUGAAACUUCUACAAGAACAACCACAACGAGGUCAUUUAGACUUCAAGGUUGGGAAUUCCACUAUUAUUGUUCCUCUUGCUAGAUCAAUUAACACGAUAGUGGAACCCAAGCUUGAACCAGAUCCUAUUGAGGAGAUCUCAAUGCUGACUCAAGAGAAGAUGGCCCAACCAUUCUUUAAUCAUGAACACUUUGUUCAAGAAGAAGAAGAGUUGGUAGAACCCGUUGAGCUAGACAAAAAUGAACAACCUUCACCUCCUUCAAUAGAGUUAAAACCUCUUCCUUCUGGCCUUAGAUAUGUCUUCUUGCACAAUAACCCAAAAACUCCAGUAAUUAUCAGUGACAAGCUUUCCGAUUAUGAAACACAACAACUUGUCACUAUUCUUGAAAGACAUAGAUCAGCUUUUGGCUACUCUCUCGAGGAUCUCACGGGCAUUAGUCCCAUUCUCUGCACUCAUCGUAUCCCUAUUGAUCCUAAUUUUACACCUUCAAGGGAACCACAACGGAGACUUAACAAUGCUAUGCGAGAGGUUGUUAAGAAAGAGGUCCUCAAACUCUAUCGUGCUGGGAUUAUUUAUCCUGUGCCACAUAGUGAGUGGGUUAGCCCUGUCCAAGUAGUGCCAAAGAAAGGAGGAAUGACGGUUGUUAGGAAUGAGAAAAAUGAACUCAUCCCUCAACGAAUUGUCACUGGGUGGCGUAUGUGUAUUGACUAUCGAAAACUCAACAAGGCUACAAAGAAAGAUCACUUUCCGUUACCCUUCAUUGAUGAAAUGUUGGAACGGCUUGCAAACCACUCUUUCUUUUGUUUCCUUGAUGGAUAUUCUGGAUAUCACCAAAUCCCAAUCCACCCAGAUGACCAAGAAAAGACUACCUUUACAUGCCCGUAUGGAUCUUAUGCAUACCGACGAAUGUCGUUCGGAUUGUGCAAUGCUCCAGAUUCUUUCCAACGGUGCAUGAUGUCUAUUUUCUCGAACAUGAUUGAGAAGAUCAUGGAGGUUUUCAUGGAUGAUUUUACCGUCUAUGGCAAAACCUUCGAUCAUUGUUUGGAGAAUUUAGAUAGAGUCUUGUAGCGAUGUGAAGAAAAGCACUUAAUCCUAAACUGGGAGAAAUGCCAUUUUAUGGUUCAGGAAGGAAUAGUGCUAGGACAUAAAGUAUCCGAACGUGGUAUAGAGGUGGACAAAGCAAAGAUUGAAGUUAUUGAAAAACUUCCACCUCCCACGAAUGUGAAAGGAAUCCGUAGCUUUUUGGGACAUGCAGGGUUCUAUAGACGCUUUAUCAAGAAUUUCUCUCAAAUUGCUAGACCCCUAACUAAUCUCCUAGCUAAGGACGCACCUUUCAUCUUUAGUGAUGAGUGUCAUGAAUCUUUUCAAACUCUUAAGAAAGCACUCAUCUCAGCCCCGAUUAUCCAACCACCUGAUUGGAAUCUUCCUUUUGAGAUCAUGUGUGAUGCUAGCGAUUUUGCGGUUGGUGCCGUUUUAGGACAAACCAAGGAUAAAAAGCAUUAUGCCAUAUCCUAAGCUAGCAAAACCUUGUCUGGACCACAGCUCAAUUACACUACAACUGAAAAAGAGCUUUUGGCUAUUGUCUUUCCUAUAGACAAGUUUAGAUCUUACUUAGUGGGGGCAAAGAUAAUCAUCUAUUCAAACCAUGCUGCUCUCAAGUACCUCCUCACUAAGAAAGAUGCUAAGCCUCGUCUAAUUUGAUGGAUUCUUCUACUCCAAGACUUUGACAUAGAAAUCUGAGAUAGGAAGGGAGUUGAGAAUUCUGUAGCCGACCACUUGUCUAGGCUUCAAUAUAAGGAAACACAUGAUGAACUUCCCAUAAAUGACUACCUAAGGGAUGACACCCUGCUUAAGAUAACACAUGCAGAUCCAUGGUACGCAGACAUCGUAAACUUUAUAGUAAAAGGCUAUGUCCCACCUGGUGCAAACAAAAGGAAGUUGCUUCACGAUAGUUGUUUCCACCUUUGGGAUGAGCCAUAUCUUUUCCGAGUCUGUGCUGAUGGACUCUUGAGAAGGUGUGUUCCUGUGGCCGAGGCUACUCAAAUUAUGGAAAGAUGCCAUGCCUCGCCAUAUGGAGGACACUAUGGAGCAUUCCGGACACAUGCUAAAAUUUGGCAAAGUGGUUUUUUCUGGCCAACGAUGUAUGAAGAUACAAAGGACUUUGUCAGGAGAUGCCACCGAUGUCAAAAACAUGGGAAUAUCAACUCACGAAAUGAAAUGCCUCUCACAAAUAAUCUUCAAGUAGAACUUUUUGAUGUUUGGGGCAUUGAUUUCAUGGGGCCAUUCCCUAUGUUCGGGAAUUGCGAGUAUAUCUUAGUAGCUGUGGACUAUGUGUCCAAAUGGGUAGAAGCCCUACCUUGUCGAUCAGCUGAUUCAAAACAUGCCAAGAGAAUGUUCCAUGAAGUAAUCUUUCCUCGCUUUGGUAUACCCCGGAUAGUUAUAAGCGAUGGAGGUUCCCACUUCAUCGACAAAAUCUUCCGGAAGUACCUAGCCGAUCAUGGAGUUCGACACAACGUCGCAACACCAUACCAUCCUCAGACUAGCGGUCAAGCCGAAACAUCUAACAAACAAAUCAAAAAUAUUUUACAAAAGACCGUAGAUGAGAUGGGAAAGGGGUGGAAGGACAAACUUCCUGAUGCACUCUGGGCAUAUAGAACUGCAUUCAAAACACCCAUAGGCAUGUCACCUUAUCAACUUGUAUAUGGAAAAACGUGUCACUUGCCUGUGGAAGUAGAGUUUAAGGCUCAUUGGGCACUCAAGAAAUGGAACAUGGAUCACCACCUCGCUAGCAAGAAUCGUCUGAUGCAACUAUCUGAGCUAGAAGAAUGGAGAGAGAAAGCCUACCACAAUUCAAGGAUCUAUAAAGAGAGAACAAAACGAUGGCAUGAUAAGAGAAUCAAGCACAAGGAGUUUAAGCCUAGAGAUAAGGUUCUACUAUUCAAUUCAAGAGUUAAGCUCUUUGGGCAUGGUAAGCUACGAAGUAAGUGGGAUGGACCAUACAAGGUUAUUGACACUUCAACUCAUGGAGCCAUUACCAUCCAAGACGACAUAGGUAACACUUUUAAGGUGAAUGGUCAACGCUUGAAAAUCUAUCUCGAGCCACAAAACAACCUGGUAGAGGAACUUGAUGUGAUUGAGUUCAUAGAAUUCUCAUAUUAAGCUCUCAUAAGCUCUAGACAAUUACCUAACCCUUAACAUGCUCCACAAGUUUUGUUGUCUAUUUGGGUUGUGCAGGAUUUUGAGGCUUAAGAAGAGUGAGACCGAACAUGCAGGCCACAAGAGUGAAUGACUAUGUCAACAUCCAGCUUGGGGGAGGCACCCCCACGUGUAUCUAGAUAAGUAUUACUUUUCUUUCUUGAUUCUAUUUACUAGUAUUCAGAAAUAAAAAAUGCAUAACCAUGAAACCAAACAAAGUUUUUCUUUUGAGUAAUAUACAAUAGUUUUGUGUAAUCCUAAGUUUUAAAUAAAAUAAAAAGAAAGUUUGAUUCAAGUCUAGGUAAUUGACAAACAUGAUAUGAGAAGGUCUGAGCUACUAUUUAACUUGUUCCAAGUUUUGCUAGAGUUCUGGAGAUUUUAUCUUUUGAAAAUCUAAAAAUUCAUAAAAAAAAUAUAUGAGAUCAUAAUACCUAGAGUCUUAUAAGAUAUAAAUAUUAAAAUUGUGGGCACUUGCUUUGUUCAAGCCAUUGUUAAUUCUUGUAGUUUUGGUUGAGAGAAUUAUCAUGCUCUAAAGAUCAAGAUCUUUUUGUUUUAAAAAUAUAAAAGAUUCACUCUUCCGAAGUAUUAUUGCGUUAGAGGCAUGGGACUAUGCAAAAAUUUGAUUUAAAAGAAAGAGUGAGACGAGAGGUAAAAAUGGACAUGUGUCCGAAGUAGAAUUAGGGGUACAAAGAUACACACUUGAGUGAAAAAAAAUGGACAUGUGUCCGACAGUAGAAUUAGGGGUACUUGGUGCCCACUUGAAAAAAAAGAGAGAUACUCAAAAAAAAUGAUAGCCCAUGGUCCCUCUAAUAAGCAAUAUGCCAGUAAGAGAUGACAAACUUUUCAAAAAGGUCAAAGGUCUUGAUCUAGGAGUAUGACAUUCCUCUCCCUUGCUCCGAGCAUUGACAUAGCAAAAUGCAAAGUAAGUAUGCUAAAAUUUUUUAAAGCUCUACUUAUAUAUCUUUCGAGAAGAAGGCAAAUGCCUCAGUUUUAUUUUGGAAACUUACAAACAACUCCAGAACAAAGGUAAGACAGAAGAACUUAAGACAUAGUGCUUGACUUGAUCGUUCUGUUUUUCAAUCACUUAAGACCUUAGUAAUAACUUAAAAACCCUGUAGUAAGAGGCAUAAAAGUAACCCCUGUGUCCGACAGUAGAAUUAGGAGUACUUGCUGCCCACUUAAAAAAAGAGACUGAAAAAAAAAGAGAAAAAGAAAAAAAGAUAGCUCAUGGUCCCUCUAAUAAGCAAUAUGCCAGUAAGAGAUGACAAACUUUUCAAAAAGGUCAAAGGUCUUGAUCUAGGAGUAUGACAUUCCUCUCCCUUGCUCCGAGCAUUGACAUAGCAAAAUGCAAAGUAAGUAUGCUAAAAUUUUUUAAAGCUCUACUUAUAUAUCUUUCGAGAAGAAGGCAAAUGCCUCAGUUUUAUUUUGGAAACUUAUAAACAACUCCAGAACAAAGGUAAGACAGAAGAACUUAAGACAUAGUGCUUGACUUGAUCGUUCUGUUUUUCAAUCACUUAAGACCUUAGUAAUAACUUAAAAACCCUGUAGUAAGAGGCAUAAAAGUAACCCCUGAUUUCUUGCUGAUUUUAGCUUUGCUCAGGGACGAGCAAAGGUUAAGCUUGGGGGAGCUUGUUGACGGUCCUUAAUGUUCACAUUUAACCAUCAACUAAUCAUGGAAAAGGAUCCAAAUGCAACCAACACCUAGACUUAGGGUUUUAUCUGACAGAAUUCCACGAGUUUUGGUGUUUGUCUAUUUCUGCAGGGGGUUAUCAGGAAAUAUGGAAAAGAGGCCCACAUGUCGGGUUAAUGACGGGAUAUUAACUUGACGGGCAAUUAUCUACCAUCUAGAAGAGUCCAGAAGCCACGGGAGCGAACGGGAGACGUGACGGAGCCGGGCACUGGGCGCCCGCCCUCCCUUACUAGGCGCCCGCCCUCCCCCCUGAACCAAUCAGGGCGAAGCUCGGGGAUCAUGCUCCACCGACCUAAUACUUCAAGGAAAGCCACACUAUCAAUGUCGGUUUGAUCGGACGGCCCAGAUUCAUCUGAAAAGACUAUAUAAGCAAGGCCCCCUGGCCCUUAGAGAUCAUACCUCUUCUACAGAAUCAAAACUAGGGUUUCAAUUCUUCAUCCAAGUAGAGAGGACCCCUCUAGUUCUUCUAGUUCUACCUCUAGUUCAUCUAGAUCUAGUUCUAGUUCAUCUAGUUUUAGUUCUAGUUCUAGUUAGUUCUAGUUGUAAUCUAGAAAAUAGGGAGAGAGAAGAGGAGAGCGGAGGAGGAGGAGGUGGAUCUGUCGGAUCUUCCUCAACACUGUACUUUUGUAGCAACAGGUUCGUUCUUCAUCGUUCUCCAAGUUCUUCAAUUCAUAAUCCUGAGUUCUUUAAUUACUUUUAUUUACAUUCAAGUUAUUUAUUGGAUUCCCGCUUGCAUCAAGUGCUCUAAUCUUUGCAACAUUAGAGUAGUAAUUAAUAGAUUAGACGUGGUGUUUAGUCUUGCAAUUACCUGGAAUUGUACCCAAUCCUGCGGAUUGUUGUGGUAGCUUAGGGUAGUGACAGCCCUAACGGUCGACGUAUUCCACCUCGU